GACGUAUUUGUCGGCCGCAUCGGAGGAGUCUUCGGUUUGGGACGUCCUUCGUCGCGGCGCUGUGACGUAUGUGGCCAACGAACUCGGCCUUCGGAGGAGCCGGCCUGCUGUUUUGGACACAGCCAGAGAAACGAGCAGAAAUGCGGGAGAUGAACCAGAUGCAUCUGGAGAUCUUGUGAAUGUUAUUGAACUACGUUGGAACUCGAACCUGAAUCAGUUGAAUGUGAAGUUGUCUCGGUGAGUUGUAGCAGCCAUUUUGUGUAAUUGGCACGUGUGUAGUCACUGGGAAAAACCAUAUAGUGGAAAAAAAUAAAUUGAUAACUAAGUUUUGUUGUUGCAAAAAACCRGUCGAGAUAAUUUGAAAGAUAACUGUGGUAGUUAUUCACAGUGUGAAAGUGUAUUUUUGCUGUUUUUAUUGUUGUUGUUAUGGAAGACCUUCAUAAACUGUUAGCACAGACCAUCAUCUGGAGCAUAAGGAAAAAUGUACUGUGUAAGAUGUUAGCUCCAUUUUGUUUAUUGCAUUUUAAAUGUUUUAAUAACCAAUUGCACUGUACAAAUAUAAAAAAUAUUCAAUUUUGAGUAUAAGUAAAAUGUGAAUUUGUGUAUUUUGCUGUUUUGCCACAAGUUUCAGUUCUAAGUGGAUUAUAGAGCAAUAGUUUAAAAGAGACAAUGACACUUAGUUGUGAAUUACAGUUAAUAAUUCUCUGCACAUUUAGUGCAGACUGGUUUUUUUAGAGGCGUAAUUUUUUUUGGAUUUGGACCUUUGGAGUUCGUGUUCGUCCCGUCACCUUCAGUGGCCCAGGUGCCUGGAUCCUUGGUCUGUUCACCACCUACUAACAGGGCUGCAACAACUUCCUUGGAUGUUCCUUUCAUGAACGUUGGGUAUCAAAAGGGGUGGUAGGACAAUUUUUUUUCCUGAGUGCACUCAGAGGUGACUGAUUUACUUGAAUGUUUGAUUAUUAUUUUUUUUCCUGAUAUCUCAGAGGUACUAUGUUUGGUUGUAUUUUGUUUGAUUGUAUUGAUUUCGUGAAUGCCAUUUGAGUUGAUAUUGAAAAAUAAUAUAAUUUCUAUUCAUUUAAAGUUA